rnacentral:rRNA from 1 species
GAUGAACGCUGGCGGCGUGCCUAAUACAUGCAAGUCGAGCGAACGGACGAGAAGCUUGCUUCUCUGAUGUUAGCGGCGGACGGGUGAGUAACACGUGGAUAACCUACCUAUAAGACUGGGAUAACUUCGUGAAACCGGAGCUAAUACCGGAUGAUAUUUGGAACGGCAUGGUUCAAAAGUGAAAGACGGUCUUGCUGUCACUUAUAGAUGUAUCCGCGCUGCAUUAGCUAGUUGGUAAGGUAACGGCUUACCAAGGCAACGAUGCAUAGCCGACCUGAGAGGGUGAUGGGCCACUCUGGAACUGAGACACGGUCCAGACUCCUACGGGAGGCAGCAGUAGGGAAUCUUCCGCAAUGGGCGGAAGCCUGACGGAGCAACGCCGCGUGAGUGAUGAAGGUCUUCGGAUCGUAAAACUCUGUUAUUAGGGAAGAACAUAUGUGUAAGUAACUGUGCACAUCUUGACGGUACCUAAUCAGAAAGCCACGGCUAACUACGUG